UGGCCUUGGUCGACACCACUGGGUGUGACAAAGUCACUCUACCUGGGAUUGCAGCUAGCAGAUUCCAAGUCUGCACGCAAGCUGUUUGUGCAUGGAUAAGAGUUGGAUGGAGCAGCGAGGAAAAUCGAAAGAUGGUCAAGAUGCCAUCCAAAAGCCGAAGUUGAAGGGGACACGCAGUUGAUUGAUUUGUGUACUCCUAAUUGAUUGCAUCAAGCUGGAACACUCUUUACAUUGUUGUCACAGCAGUGGGUAGUGUACCUGUGUGUUACAUUGUUGUCACAAAAGUAGGUAGUGUACCUGUGUGUUACAUUGUUGGCCCUGUGUUAGUGAUUGAUACUUUGAUGUCAUUUUCAAAUUUGUGAAGAUGUUCUGAUGCUUUACAUUAUUCGCUUGCACGAUGAUACUUCUAGCCGAUGCAAGCCUCUCAAUCUUGUUCUACUAUUGUAUAUGUGUAUUUGUACAGUGGUUGCAAAUUAGUGAGCUUGCUGUAACAGUGUU